CUGGCGGCGUGCUUAACACAUGCAAGUCGAACGGAGUGAAGGGGAGCUUGCUCCUUGGAACUUAGUGGCAAACGGGUGAGUAACGCGUAGGCAACCUGCCCUUCAGAUGGGGACAACAUUUCGAAAGGAAUGCUAAUACCGAAUGACGUGCAUUGGUCGCAUGACCGAUGCACCAAAGGCCGGGCAACCGGUCACUGAAGGAUGGGCCUGCGUCUGAUUAGCUAGUUGGUGGGGUAACGGCCCACCAAGGCGACGAUCAGUAGCCGGUCUGAGAGGAUGAACGGCCACAUUGGGACUGAGACACGGCCCAAACUCCUACGGGAGGCAGCAGUGGGGAAUCUUCCGCAAUGGGCGCAAGCCUGACGGAGCAACGCCGCGUGAGUGAAGGAAAGGUUUUCGGAUCGUAAAGCUCUGUUGUCAGGGACGAGAGACUUGAUCAGGAAAUGGGUCAAGGAGGACGGUACCUGGCGAGAAAGCCACGGCUAACUACGUGCCAGCCGCUGC
rnacentral:rRNA from 1 species